rnacentral:rRNA from 1 species
UGCAGUCGAACGGUAACAUUUCUAGCUUGCUAGAAGAUGACGAGUGGCGGACGGGUGAGUAAUGCUUGGGAACUUGCCUUUGCGAGGGGGAUAACGGUUGGAAACGACUGCUAAUACCGCAUAAUGUCUUCGGACCAAACGGGGCUUAGGCUCCGGCGCAAAGAGAGGCCCAAGAGAGAUUAGCUAGUUGGUAAGGUAACGGCUUACCAAGGCGACGAUCUCUAGCUGUUCUGAGAGGAAGAUCAGCCACACUGGGACUGAGACACGGCCCAGACUCCUACGGGAGGCAGCAGUGGGGAAUAUUGCACAAUGGGGGAAACCCUGAUGCAGCCAUGCCGCGUGUGUGAAGAAGGCCUUCGGGUUGUAAAGCACUUUCAGUUGUGAGGAAAAGUUAGUAGUUAAUACCUGCUAGCCGUGACGUUAACAACAGAAGAAGCACCGGCUAACUCCGUGCCAGCAGCCGCGGUAAUACGGAGGGUGCGAGCGUUAAUCGGAAUUACUGGGCGUAAAGCGCACGCAGGCGGUUUGUUAAGCUAGAUGUGAAAGCCCCGGGCUCAACCUGGGAUGGUCAUUUAGAACUGGCAGACUAGAGUCUUGGAGAGGGGAGUGGAAUUCCAGGUGUAGCGGUGAAAUGCGUAGAUAUCUGGAGGAACAUCAGUGGCGAAGGCGACUCCCUGGCCAAAGACUGACGCUCAUGUGCGAAAGUGUGGGUAGCGAACAGGAUUAGAUACCCUGGUAGUCCACACCGUAAACGCUGUCUACUAGCUGUGUGUGUCUUUAAGACGUGCGUA